rnacentral:rRNA from 1 species
GAUGAACGCUGGCGGCGUGCCUAAUACAUGCGAGUCGAGCGAACAGACGAGGAGCUUGCUCCUCAGACGUUAGCGGCGGACGGGUGAGUAACACGUGGAUAACCUACCUAUAAGACUGGGAUAACUUCGGGAAACCGGAGCUAAUACCGGAUAAUAUAUUGAACCGCAUGGUUCAAUAGUGAAAGACGGUUUUGCUGUCACUUAUAGAUGGAUCCGCGCCGCAUUAGCUAGUUGGUAAGGUAACGGCUUACCAAGGCAACGAUGCGUAGCCGACCUGAGAGGGUGAUCGGCCACACUGGAACUGAGACACGGUCCAGACUCCUACGGGAGGCAGCAGUAGGGAAUCUUCCGCAAUGGGCGAAAGCCUGACGGAGCAACGCCGCGUGAGUGAUGAAGGUCUUCGGAUCGUAAAACUCUGUUAUUAGGGAAGAACAAAUGUGUAAGUAACUAUGCACGUCUUGACGGUACCUAAUCAGAAAGCCACGGCUAACUACGUG